UUGAUUGUUCAUCUGGAGUUGCUUCUUCUUCUUCUUCAUCAUCGAUCUAGGAUGGGUUCCAGGCCGGCAGCCUGGGAUAGCAAGGAUGGACGUCGUUCUUCUUUUCUCGUUUGUUUUCGUCCGUAGUUGGACCCUGCUCUUAUUCUUGAUGAUUAUGUAAUGUACUGAUGUGACUCUGAUGUAGCUUGUGGCGAGUGUAAGCCAAUUCUAAAUAUAUAUCUCAUCU
rnacentral:lncRNA from 1 species